rnacentral:snRNA from 1 species
AGCUUUGCGCAGUGGCAGUAUCGUAGCCAAUGAGGUUUAUCCGAGGCACGAUUAUUACUAAUUAAAAAAAAUGCUGCCAAUUAA